rnacentral:tRNA from 1 species
GGGCCUGUAGCUUAGCCAGGUCAGAGCGCCCGGCUCAUAACCGGGCGGUCACCGGUUCAAAUCCGGUCAGGCCCACCA